UCUGGCCCACAACCACCACCCUGGUCCAUCCGGCCUGGGAACCCAAGGGAUCCUCUGCAAUCCCAUCAACGGAGCAGAAUUCACUCUCCUCCCCUUGACUCACUACAGGGUAACAAGUGCCAUCUCCCUGCCCACGACACACCAGAUCUUGUGCCCAAGGCAUCAGAAGUGGUGACAAAGCCUCGUUCAGCUCAGCCUUGGCUGCAGUUUACCCCCACUGUCAGGGCAGAUGGAAUGGGCCGUGAAGAGAGAGCACAGCUGGACCCGGCCCUGUGGGACACCCGGGCUCAGGAGGGCGAUGCCAGCUCAGUCCUGCCCUGUCCCUGCUCCCGCUGACGCUGCGGCAGCACCUGGGGAGACAAGGGGGAGCUCAGGACCCGGCCCGGCCCCUCUGACUCUACAGCUGCUGCGGACCAGCUCCCGGUCGUGUCCCUGUCGUGACAUUCUUCCAGCAGCACGAGCACUUCCCAACACAGUGAGCCCAGGGAGUGCAGCCACCGGGCCGUCUCCUCCCGCCGCGGAGCCGCCGGUGCCCGACCCCGACCCGAGUGAACCCUGAGAAAAGGACCUGGGACAGAAGAGGCAUGGAAUUCCUGGGAGGAGCUGCUGCUACGGUUGGUGUGAAGCUGGUUGAGAAAUUCAUAGACGAGGCAUUCGAGUGAGGAAAAAAAGGAUGGGAACCAGAGGCCUCAAAGCCCCAGGAAUCAUGGAUGAAGGAGGACUUCCAGAAGCUCACGCGAGAAAUGAAAGCUUUGCGUGAAGAUCUCCAGAAAGGGCAGGAAUACACAAAUUGGCUUUUUCAGCUGCUCAUAGAAGGCCUGAAGAAGGAACAGGGUGAGCAGGGCCAUUCCCAAGC